CUCUCAGCUUUACACAGAGACUGUUUUAACUCCAUCUUCCUUGCAUGAAGUGGCUCAAAGAGAGACAACGAGGGAGGGAAAGAGAGGCAUCUGACAAUGUACAUGUCUGUCUGGAUUUGGAGGACUGGAUUUAGAAGCAUUAUGGCUGCAAUGAGCCCCAAAGCACCGCCCACUCCUAUUUGGCAGCCGUGUUAAUCAGUGCUAUUGUUCACACUGAAUGUCACGCCAAAGUGUCAGCUCACGAUCUGCCUGAUCGAUUCAGUGUGUGGCUUAUUGGUAUUAAUGGUCAGAUUCUGAUAAAUGAUUAAAUGUUUAUUCUGUGUCUUGCCCUGUCUUCUGUUUACCACAAUCACCUCCCUUUUUCCACUUGUAAGUCAUGAACGAUAUAACUUUUAACGUCUAGGCUACUUUUUUGUAUAUUAUAUAUAUAUUCAGUUUAUAUUGAAAGUAAACCGGGAAGGUAGAACUGGAGCAGUUGCAGAGUUUUUGUAAUUUCUUUUCAUCAGGUUUCUCCAUGUUAGUACCUUUGACUCAAAAUGAUUACGUUAUAAAUCCUAGAACUCUCAAUUUCAACUGAUUACUUGAGUCCAGCGUAUAUUCAUUUUAAGCCCAGUGUCUCAUACUCCAGUAGAACCACAAUUUUCUUUUGCAGACAAAGGGAUUUUCUGUUCUACUCCAGUGGCUUCAAUUUCUGUAAUAGCACAGUGUUGUGUGUGGAAGACUUUGGGUGUCAAUAAAAAAUUAAAGAUAAAUAAAGAUUUCUUUUCAUUCUUUUCAACUCUUGUGAAGGCAUAUUGUUUUUUUUUUUUCUAAUAAAGCUGUCAUAGAAAGCAGAUCCUCCCAGCAGAUUUUAAAGAAAAGACUAUCUGGCUGAAUCUAAUCCACAGCGUUUUAAAUUAAACCACUGACUC